rnacentral:rRNA from 1 species
AACGAACGCUGGCGGCAUGCCUAACACAUGCAAGUCGAACGAGACCUUCGGGUCUAGUGGCGCACGGGUGCGUAACGCGUGGGAACCUGCCCUUAGGUUCGGAAUAACUCCCCGAAAGGGGUGCUAAUACCGGAUAAUGUCUUCGGACCAAAGAUUUAUCGCCUUUGGAUGGGCCCGCGUUGGAUUAGCUAGUUGGUAGGGUAAAAGCCCACCAAGGCGACGAUCCAUAGCUGGUCUGAGAGGAUGAUCAGCCACACUGGGACUGAGACACGGCCCAGACUCCUACGGGAGGCAGCAGUGGGGAAUAUUGGACAAUGGGCGAAAGCCUGAUCCAGCAAUGCCGCGUGAGUGAUGAAGGCCUUAGGGUUGUAAAGCUCUUUUACCCGGGAUGAUAAUGACAGUACCGGGAGAAUAAGCGCCGGCUAACUCCGUG